rnacentral:lncRNA from 1 species
CGUUGUUUCACCUUCUCCAUAUGAAGCCCUAAUCCUCCAUGGCUACAAUCUUUUUAGCUCUAAACCACCCACAAAAUCUCACCAUCAUUCUCACACUCAUUCCAACAUUAAUCUGGAGCCAAUCUCCCCAAAAAAUUCCAACAUCUCCACUUCAAGUCCAGGUGGAAAAUCAGAAGAAAGAAAUAAUAUUUUGAUUCCCGUGCUCUCAGGACUCAACUUGACUCAUAACUAAGCGAUUGUUCUUGCUUAGAAUAAUCGUUAACGAUAAUUUUGGCUUGUGUCGAGAUUGGUUCGUCCCGGACUAGAAUAAGAACAUUUGGCCGAGUUCUCCGUCUCCAUCGAUGCAUGGCGGAUAGUAUCAGUACUCUCUUUGUUUUCACCCUGUUCUUCUAGUCUUUUGUUUAUUUUCUUGUUUUGGUUUCCAUAAUUUUCUGCGAUUCAAAUUAACUUUAGUCAAAUUACUAUCAGUAGGUUUUAAGCUCUUCAAUCAUGUAAUUAGAUUAGUACUUUGUUAGAAUUUUUAUUUGUUUGAUUUGGGAUUCAUGUUGGUUGAUUCUGGCUUGUUAUUUACUUCGGGGCUUUUGUCACCCUUUGGUUAAACUGUUACCAGGAUGAUUCGUGAAUAGUUUUAGGGCCUAUAGCAGGUUAAUUUUGAGAGGGCACUACGAGCUCAUCUCUGUUUGAAAGCCCAAAGGCUUUGGGUCAGGAUUGUCCCGUCUGGUUGCUAAGGGUAAAUAAGAAGGGGAUUGAGGGUUGUUUAGGAAUUUUAUGUGAGGGAAUCUCUUGGUAACUAAUUGGGAAGGUUCAUAGAAGGUAACUUGGGGACUAUUUUGCAAUUCUAAAAAACUAUUUAAGGAUUUUUUAGCAAAAAACAAGAAUAAGUGAAUGACCUAUGUGCAAAAUUGAAUUUUCUAGGAUGCCCUACCUUUCUCGCCUAUAAAGGCAUCAUUUCUUGCAUUUCAAGGCACAUUUACAAGAGACAAAAUUCUGAAAAAUACAAACGGCUGUUGAAAUGACUGCUUGAUUGAGUUUCCUUGAUAAUCUCUUAGAUCUCCAAUUCUUGAAUUGAAUUCUGACUGAUAUGAGGGAGGAAAUGGCUUGAUUUUGAGACAUUAAGUGAGAAAAAUCAGAAAAGAAAAAACAAAUGGCUAGAAAACUACUGAAAACUAAUGUUCCAUUGGAAUUUUUUGAAAAUUUUGAAGUUUUCAAUUUUUGAUAAUUGAUCUGAAUCAUCUGGAUUGGAUUGUGGUUCGAAUUAGGAGUUGGGUCUUGUUUCUGUUGCUGUUAGUCUGUUGCUGCUGCUUACCUUUAAAGUUUCAAGCGAAUUUCUAGUUUUUUGUUUGGUAUUCAGGUAUGCAUUUCUUCAUCCUCCUUAACUAUAAUGCUUGAUUUGGAAUCAGAAAUGAAGAUUUGGAGCUUUGAUCUAUAUUCACCAUUAGUUGGUUCAUAGUUUAUCUCUUUUAUUUUGCUUGCUCCUUAAUUCUGCCUUUAUAACUCUGGAUAUGUAAUUAGAAACUGAUAGCAAAUACAUUAUAUUUUGGUCAUUAAUUUGGAUGAGACUACUCAAAUAUAGUUGAAGAGUGUCUGGCUUGUGUAUAAAUUAAACUCGUACUCUGUCAAAUAAUAGUAUAAAAAUAUGUCGAAUCCACAUAGAUUGAUUUAUCUAUUCUACAUACGUUUCUUAUUUUAAUUACUAUUUGAGAAAAUAAGAAAGAUUUGAGUUGUAAAUUAAUUAAAUAAAAAUGCAUAAAUAGAGCAGUAGUAAAUAUUUUUAUUUUUCAUAAAUAUUUUAAAAGGUGUUGGGAUCUUGACUUCACUUAAUAUUUCUAUUAUAUAGUAGAAUUUGAUAUUCUUCAAUUUCUAUUUCUUAAAAGGUAUAAAUGCCUCUCACGAAUACAAAUAUAUAUCAUUACUCAAGUUGAAUAAUUAAUUGCACUCCUCUCGAAUAUACAAAUUAAUCUUCAAAAUAGUAAUACUAAAGAACCAGAAAUAUAUGAUUGAACUAAAACAUGCUCUUGAUAGUAAGUCCCUUUCAGUUACCCUACUUGUUAUAACUAAUUAUUACACCAUUUGCCUCUGUCGAUUACAAAUUAGUGUAAAACUAAUUACAAGAUAAGAGAGAUAGAUGUUACUGAAUAAAUAUUAAUAUUUACCAAUACUAUACUUAAUUAUAUUAUUUCUUCCGCCUCUCUCGAUUACAGAAUUAGUAAACAGUUAAUAUGUAGUACAAGAUAAAUAAAUGUUAAUAAAUUAAAUAACGUCUAACUGUAAAAGCAGGUAAAAGUUAAAUAAAUUCUAGAUCAAGCAUGCGAAUUUGAGGAAUAAUAUCACUAUUAUAUAGAAAUAUUAAGAUUCGUCUUUCACCCAACGCAAGAAAAGUUACUCCAUACUGGAACUAGUACUAACAAUAAAAAUAUUCUUGUCCAUUAAAUAAGAAAAUAGAAAGAAAUAUUCAAGUGGAGUAAUUCCCUCUAUUUAAUUAAAAGCAUGAACUGGAGUAAUUUCCUAAAUAGAAAUUUAUUUAUAAACAACAACUAAACCACUAUUGUGAUUUAAAAGAAAAGAUAACUCGAUAGUAGUGAAAGAAAUAAAACAGAGAAGCUUUUCAAGAAUUUUGAUUCACACUUCUAGCUCUAAGCUUUCUCUCCACUGCUUCCUCUCUCUUGAUUGAUCAACAACGUCUUCUUAUAUAAGAAAAUUUUUUGAUGACUUCACGAUGUGGUGCUAGAUUUUAUCAUGGCAAAUCUAGAUUUUGCAGAUAUGAGAAUUCGUAAUUUGAAUUUUUGAUUUCGUCGAUUUCUUCAUGGCAAAUCUAGAUUUCACAUUUGCAAAUAUGAGAAUCCGUAAGUUUGGGUUUAGAUUUCAUUGAUUUCAUCAUGGCAAAUCGAGACUUGGUGCAUUGUCAUGGCAGUAAUGAAUCAUAGCUCGAUUUCACACUUCUUUGUUUCAUUUUUCUUUUUUUUUUCAUGAUGCGCAUAAUAAUUCUUUUAUAAUUACUCCUGCAAAAUAAAGUUAAGAAUAUGGAGAAAAAAUGAUAAUUUAUAUAUUUUUAUGAGAGAAAUUAUGUUGUUAAGUUCAGGUAAAAUGUACUUAUCACAUUCUCCCACACUUAAACUUUUGCUCGUCCUCGAGCAAAGAAAAAAAAAUGAACAUAGUAACUAAACACUUUAAAUGAAAUCAUGAGAGUUUUUGACAAAGAAGAAUUGACUAAGACCAAUCCAUGAGUUCAAACAACUUUCAGCUGUACUUACGUUCACCAAUUGAGAACUGAAAUCAUGAUAUUUUCUAUUCCCAAGUGUGUCUUACUGAAUGAAAAGAGAUGCCCAUAUAUCACAUAAUAUAUAGAUAUAGGAUCAAAGAAGGGCAUAGAUAAAAAUACGCUCACUCUCAGCAAAGAAGUACCUCAAGCUACUGGAAAUAACCAUAAGCUUGACUAUCAUGUGGUUAUCCACUAAUUGGAGUCUCCCAGUUAAAAUCAUGUAGGACUUUUCCAGGGUUGUCAAAUAGGCUUUAAGGAUGGGUAGGAUACAUAUAGAUAAUAGUGAUUCAAAUUCCCUAUGGGCACUCCACAUUUGUUUUAUCUCUCAAGUAUAAUUGCCUUUCAUCUUAUUUAAACAAUAAAUCUUUAUUUUGUUUCAUCCCUUUCAAUUUUUUUAUAGAGUUGCCAAUUUUUUUUUUUUGGAAAUUCUGAAGCAACUAAUUUUUUUUAAAUUUCUUAUGACAACAUCUCAAAAUAUCGAUAACUUCAAAUAAUUAUUCUUUCACUAGUUAUUUACAAUUACACCUCACGCCAAAAUUUUUAUAUUGAGAUCAACUCUUAAUGUGCUCAAAAGGGAAUUGGGUAAACAAAGAACAAGUCAUAACAACAACCAAGCUAAGAGUUAAAUCAUGGCGACCAACAAAAUAAGAGAUAAUUUAUUUAGGCUUAACUAGAUUAACUAGGGAUAACAAUUAUUAAGGUAGGUCAAUUUAGGCUAUGGCUCAACAAAGAAGGCCUACGUUUAUUUCUUAACUCAAAGAUCUACCUAGAAUUUUGCCUUGAUCCACAUUCAAGGCAAUUUUUAGAUUUCCAUAUAAGCAGGAGAAUUAAAUAAUAUAAGACAAUCGCACAAUACACUCGGGCUAACGAAAACCAUGAUUUCAAUCACCAAUAAGUAAGUAUGAGUUAGAAAAGUGAUCAUAAAACUCGUGAAUGGUACUUAAUCGAAUUUGUCUUUUCUAAGUCUCAUGCUUUUCAAGUCAAAUCAAGUUUAGCCAACUUAUUUACUAAAAUUAGUUAAAACAACUAACAGUCCUAAGAAAUAUAUUUAAUUCAAAAUAUUACGACCAUGGCAAAGAACUGAACAAGAAAUCCAUCGAAGUACAUGAAAUAAGUUGCCUUAAGAAUAAGGCAACUCAAUUUUAUUCAGUUUUUCAGUUUUUUUUAAAUGUUUUUAUAAUUUAACUAAAAACACAUUUUUAAGUUGUAAAAUAUUUUUUUUAAUAUUUAACCGAGAUUUUUUUAAAAAAGAAACACAUAUAUAACUAACAUAUUCAUCUACCCCUUAACUUAAAUAAUGUCAUGUCUUCAUGACAAAUAAAUUAAAAGUAAAAGGAGAUAGAAGAGCUUCCCUGAUUUUUUUAUUCUGGCCUCAUUUCUUUUUUCUUGGCUUCUCAAGAUUUCUCACAUAACAAAGACAAGAUUAUGGCAAAGAAAAUGUUCCUUUUCAUGACGUGAGAAAACUUUCAUUGUUGAAAAAUGUUCCUUUUCAUGACGUGAGAAAACUUUCAUUGUUGAAAUCAUGGGAGAACUUCUUUAUCAUGUCAAAAUAUAUUAAUACAUACUACAUACAUGCACAUACACACACACACACACACACACACACACACACACACACAUAUAUAUAUAUAUAUAUAUNNNNNNNNNNNNNNNNNNNNNNNNNNNNNNNNNNNNNNNNNNNNNNNNNNNNNNNNNNNNNNNNNNNNNNNNNNNNNNNNNNNNNNNNNNNNNNNNNNNNNNNNNNNNNNNNNNNNNNNNNNNNNNNNNNNNNNNNNNNNNNNNNNNNNNNNNNNNNNNNNNNNNNNNNNNNNNNNNNNNNNNNNNNNNNNNNNNNNNNNNNNNNNNNNNNNNNNNNNNNNNNNNNNNNNNNNNNNNNNNNNNNNNNNNNNNNNNNNNNNNNNNNNNNNNNNNNNNNNNNNNNNNNNNNNNNNNNNNNNNNNNNNNNNNNNNNNNNGCUAUAUAUAUAUAUAUAUGCCAAAAGGAAAUAUUAUAUGUUACUACUAAUAAUUAUUUAAACAAUUAAAGAGAGGGUAAUAAAAUAGUUCUGAGUUUAACGUCGCCACCUCAACCUAUUUUAAAAAUUAGGCGAAAAGGAUUGUUGAAGCCUGUUUGUCGAAGAAUUUGCUGAUAUAAGGCUUCAAACGAUGACUGUUUACUUUGAAUUUGUCUCCCCCAUCUACAUGUUGUACUUCAAUGGCACCAGAGGGGGUCACUCCUGUUACUGUAUACAGUCCUGUCCAGCGUAACACAAGAUUUCCUGGAAAUAAUCUCGAUCGGCUAUUGUACCACAGAACAUGAUCUCCAACUUUAAAAUAUUUAUGGCGGAUGAGCUUGUCAUGCCAUUUUUUUGUCUUUACCUUGUACAAUUUAGCAUUUUCAUAUACUGUAAGCUUGAACUCUUCCAAUUCAUCAAGAUGCAAUAGACGAUUUUACCUGCAUCUGACAAGUUUAGAUUCAACUAUUUUAUAGCCCAAUAUGCUUUAUGUUCUAAUUCUAUAGGUAAAUGACAAGCAUUUCCAAAAACUAGUCUAUAUGGAGAUGUGCCUAUGGGAGUUUUGAAAGCAAUUUUGUAUGCCCAUAAAGCAUCGUCUAACUGUAAAGACCAAUCUUUUUGAAGGGAACCAACAGUUUUUUCUAAAAUUAUUUUUAAUUCUCUAUUGGAUACUUCAACUUGCCCGCUUGUUUGAGCAUGAUAUGAGGUUCCUGUUUUAUGAGUUACUCCAUAUUUUAACAACAAACUAGCAAAAUUUCUAUUUAUAAAAUGCGUUCCUUGAUCACUUAUUAUUACUCGUGGAGUUCCAAAUCUAGAAAAAACAUUUUUCUUGAGAAAAGCACAAACAAUAUGAGCAUAAUUUUUUCUAUUAGCAAUUGCUUCUACCUAUUUCGAAACGUAGUCAACAGCUACCAAAAUAUAUUCAUAGUCAUUUGAAGGAGGAAAAGGACCCAUAAAAUCUAUGCCCCAAACAUCAAAGAUUUCACACACAAAAAUAGAGUUAAGAGGCAUUUCAUCUCUUUUUGAAAUGUUACCGAUUCGCUGGCAUUUAUCGCAAGUGGCGACAUAAUUCCUUGCAUCUUUGAAUAGAAUAGGCCAGAAAAAGCCAACUUCAAGUACUUUAGCUGCUGUACUUCUUCCUCCAUCGUGUCCUCCUGCAGCCCUAUCAUGGCAGUGACUUAAGAUGUUGUUCAUUUCUGUCUCCGGUACACAUCUCCUGAUUAUGUCAUCUGCACAAACUUUAAACAAGUAAGGAUCUUCCUAGUAAUAAUGUCAUGCUUCUUUUUUAAGUUUUUUCUUUUUUUCAUAAGAAAAAUCUUUUGGAAUCCAUCCUCCACCCAAGUAGUUGGCAAUAUCAGCAAACCAAGGUGGUGGAUUUAUAACUGUUGUGACUGAAAAUAUAUGUUCAUUAGGAAAUUCCUCUUUGAUAUCCUCUAUCUUAGUAGGAGGAUUUUCCAAACGAGACAAAUGAUCAGCUACCUGUGUCACGACCCAAAAUCCAUUAAGGGUUAUGAUGGCGCCGAACACCGCUACCAGGCAAGCUAUCCAAAUUACUUAGACAAAAUAUCACUUUUAACACUUUUAAAAUCUAAGAUUUUUCCUCCAUAUUUAAAAAACUUUGAAGAAUAAAGUUUCAAAUCAAAAUUUAAAAUUUAAACUGUUAAUAUAAUACUUCAAACCCUCCUAGAACCCAGAGUCACAACCGCAUGAGCAUCUACUAAUAAGAGAAAUAAAAUACAACACUCCAUCCGGAAUACAGUGGACUAAAGUAACUAUUGAACACUUAAAGGGACUACCCUAGUUGCGGCUGUCUCGAAUAAUGCAGCUCAUCUAGUCCCAAAAACCAUCCGUGCUGCUAUGGCAAUAAACCACUGGAGCCACAUAAUAAACAUGUGCAACAAUUGCACAGCAAAUGUAGUAUGAGUACAAAAACAACGUGUACCCAAUGAGUGUCCCGCCUAAUCCCGAAGGGGUAGAGACGAGAUGGUCAACCUUAACAUUCACUAGUAGUCCAAUGAUUAUUUAUCUUUAAUAAAGAUAUUAAACAUUGGAUUUAUUUUAUAAAAAUGUUCUAAUCCAGAUAGAGGAAACAAGUAAGCAUCUAAUACCUUCAUGAAAAAUUUCCUUAGGUUUCUUAUUAUUAUAAACGAUAUAAAUCUCGAGCCAUAGUAUGGCAUAUAUCGACUCAAACGAGUCCAGGCAGCAAUACAAGCAUACGAAAAUCAUACCGUGACGACGACCCGAUCUAACAGAAAUAAAUGUGCACUUGCUGAGGGUCGAUGGCGCGCCUAUAGAUGCAUCUAUUAAUCCACCAAGGCGUACGGACCGUUCCAAAAAUAAACAUACGCAGAUAGACAAUUAGUCAAACAGUCAACAUGGAGCAAAUAUCCAAGAAAGGUCAAUUCUCUUUAACAAUUUGAGAAACAAAACUUAAGUCUUUCUUUUUGAAAUCUAUUUAUAAAUUUAAUAUGAUUUAAGCAAUUCAAGCCACCAAUGAGUAUACAAUUAAUCCAAGUUUAACAUGUUUUUGGGUCCUAGAAUACCCGGAUAAUAGCACAAUAGUAGCUACGCACGGACUCUCGUCACCUCGUGCAUACGUAGCCCCCAUAAAUAGGAGCACAUAAUCAAUUUAAUUCACCUAUGGGAUAGAUUUCCCCUAACAAGAUUAGAAAGGAGACUCACCUUGCUCCGAAGCGUUCCUUCAACAACAAGAAUAGGCUCCAGCCUUAAUUCGAAGCCGAACGAGUACCGACUUGUUAAAUAAAGCAAGAACUAGUCAAUAAGUGCUCACAAAGUUGAAUUCCAACUAAUUAAAUGAUUUCCCAACAUUUCCCGCUAGUAUUCUAAAAUCCGACCCCGGGCCCACGUGCCCAGAUUCCGAGAUUUGUCAAAGCAAAAUAUUCUCCAUAACCUAAGAAUUACGAACCUUUAUCGCAUGUUUUCUAAAUUCCGACCCCGGGCCCACGUGCCCAGAUUCCAAGAUUUGUCGAAGGAAAAUAUUCUCCAUAACCUAAGGAUUACUAAUAUGUAAAUUUUUGUUCGUUACAUGGCUAAUUAGGUGGUUAAAUCAUAAUUUUAUCCAAACCCUAGGUCUAGCUCUAAUCCUUGAUUUUAUUUGAUUUUUAGUGUUAAAUCUAUGUAAUGUUUAUGUAUUUAAGCUAAGAGUGAGUGAGGGUUACUUACCUUGUGAUGUUAUGUUGAAACACUCUCUUUGAAAGCUCCCAAAUUGCCCCAAAGUCGAAUGAGAAAUGAGAGAAAAUGGUUGGAGUUCGUAUUUAAUGAACUCACUGCCCCAGCAAUUUUCGCUUAUACGGGCGUUUUUCCGCAUCUGCAGAGUCCGCUUCUGUGGCAAAAUAGCCGCUUUUGCGGUUUGGGGAAGAGCUGGCCAGACCGCUUCUGCGGUCAAUUGUUCGCAAAGGAGGGACCGCUCCUGCGGUCCGCAUGGCCGCUUCUGUGGUUCCCCCACCUUUCCCCCUUUUUGCUUCCGCGUCCACUAGACCGCUUCUGCGGUCCAAGAGCCGCAGAAACGGUUUUGACAGAAGCAGAUGAUGUUCCCUUUUAUAAUUCUAACUUCGCUCGAACCUCGAUCAUUUGACGCUUGAGGCUCCCGAGCCCCGCCCGAAGAUACCAACAAGUAUGAAAUCACGAGGCGGACCUAGUCGUAACCUCAAAACUCCCAAAACAACACUAAAUCAAGCAAUCAGACCCCAAAACCGAUUAAUCAAACUUAAUGAACUUCAAGUUCUUAAUUUCCUAUCAACGGGUCAAAAUGCCCUUAGACUAUUCGUAUUGACACCAAAUUUUAUAGGUAGUUCUUAUAUGAUAUUUCGGACUUGUACUAAGUUUCAGAACCGGAAUCCGAACCCGAUACCUAGGUUUUCAAUAAAUAAUUAGAUUCUUUAAUUCCUUAAAACUCCGAUUUAAUAAUUUUACAUAAGAAUUCCAUAAUCGGGCUAGGGACCGCGGAAUUCGAUUCCAAGCAUACGCCCAGGUCCCAUAUUUUUCCAUGGACCUUCCGGGACCGUCAAAUCACAAAUCUAGGUCCGUUUUCUAAGAAAGUUGAUUGAAGUCAAAUUUGACCUUUUAAGAACACCUUAAGAAAAUAAUUGGUUUUAUUCUCACUCAAAACUCUCCUAACUUCCGAACUAAUCGCCCCACCCCCCUGCAAAUCGUAAUUUAGCUAAAGAAAUUGUGAGAAGUUUUUAUUUAAGGGAACAGUUCUAAAUAGUAAAACGACCAGUCGGGCUGUUACAUUCUCUCCCACUUAAACAUACGUUUUUCCUCGAACAUGCUAAGAACUAUACUGAAGUAGCCUGCAAUCACUGUUUAGCACCUCACACACCUUCCCGUGCUACCACAACUUAGUUGGGAACAUUAGCUCGAUAUAUUCUGAAGAUAUUUCCUUUUUACUCAAGCAAAUAAUCCUUGGAGCCCAAUUCCAACAUCCAGAAUUCCAUGCCAGACCCGUUUUCAUCAUAAUAUCACCAAAUCAUUCACCACACGCUGUGCCCAACAUGACUGCAUAACUUUUCUGAAUCCACUCUUUGCAUCACUUUACUCAUAGAACCGAUGAAUCCACUCUUUGCACCACUUUACCCAUAGGACCAUUAUAACAUUUUCUGAUCAAUUUAGCCAACAUUCGACGAACCAGAUGCUCCCAUUGCACCUCAUGACAUACAUAGGUCUUACCCUAACUUCGAUAACACUAACACGACGGAAGAUAUGCGCCGAAAAUUCAUAUACAACCGUUGAAUCAACAAAUCAUUGAGUCCAUACCCAUGACAAGAGUCAUUGCUUCUUUCUGAACCCUCUAAUGGCCUUAGCUCCAUAAUACACUUCAUAUAAUCAACUUGCACUGAUCCUAAAUCCUAUAAUCUCGUCUCACCCAGUAUGAACUGCUCAUUGCUUAAGGCGCUCGUUGCUUAGCGCAACGUCUUCUCUUAAGGCGCUCGUUGCUUGUCUUAUAUUUAGAUAUUUCUCUUCUUUAUUACAUUUUUAUUUGCAUUCUCUCUAACAUAAUCAGGAAUUCGAAAUCUGGAAGGAAUUAUCUAACCCCCGUACUAACAUGGAUUUUCCCUAGAAUAUAGGAAAUAAAACACACAAGAUAGCAUAUAGGAAACCAGACUCGACAUUACACUGCGCAACCCGAUCCGAAUUAUAAAAGCACUCAAUAAAGGAGAUUCAUAUCGAGCUAGAUUGCUCAUUAAAACAAAAUACCGAAUAUCGGUCAUAGACACGCUAAGGUGUAUAAUACCAUCCCUGAGGACCCAUAUAGCGCUAUAGGCUACAAAACUCAAGUACAACUGAGGUGCAAUACAUGAUCUUAAUCUUGAGAGCCAUCCUGCUCAUACGACAUUACCACUAAGCAGAACCUCAACACAUAAGAAGUUACCAAGCCGUAUCACAACUUAUACGGCGCAAUAUAUCACUACAUGAAAUAGCUGACCACGAAAUGACACCGCGACUACUCUUCCAUCAAGAGCGCAUUACUUAAAUGAACACAACUGGCCUGACGUAAGGCUCACUUCUAUGUUUGAAUCCAUCUACCGACCUCAAGUCGAUCCUGAUCGGGACCAACUAGGCCAAUGACCUUUCAAAGGUCCAUGCUAACUUCCCUCUUCUCAUAACACACAAGAACAUCCAUCACAACUGUAGCAACCUCCUCGGUUCAUAAUAUAAUAACCAGAAUGCCCUUCAGGCAUAAAUUCAAAUUAAUGAUAGUACCAAAAUCCUCAUACUUGGUUUAAAUCUCUACUCGAUCAAGUGACUGCAUGUCACACUUAUAAAAUCUUCAUGUGGGACACGCUCCCACAACCUUCCGAAAUAAUUAACGGGUCUGAACAUCCAACUACCGGCUGCACCAACGUUGAAAAGUGAUCAAGAAUCCUUAACCGGUACGCAAAGCCUUUCUCAUAAAGCAAUGAUAUUAGUUGAUGCUGACGAAAAUACCAACUUACCCAAAACACUAAAACUCUCUUCCUGCUCAUGUGAGCUCGUGACAUCAUAGUCAUUACCGAACUGUAAUCUUGUUCCCCACGUCAAAUUCCCGACCACUUACUUCACUCAACGGGCCGAUAUGCUAUAGGCAUGAUUCCCAUCACAACUCUGUAACAACUUGAUAGACUAACACUUCAUCAUAUAAAAUUGUCAUUUAACUCACUUCAGGAGAACUAUAGCAACAUACGGGCGAAUUCUCAUAACCAUCAAAUAUGCCAAUCUCUGAGUAGUGGUCCAAGCCACCAUAGCCCUUCCAGGAUCCGCCUACUCAUAACAGGCCAUAGCAAAAUAAUGCUUCUGAAUAACAUCAAUCACUGCGGCCGACAAGCCUCACACACACCGCCAUAAUCACAUGCAUGACUUGAUCACGCUAGAUGAACUGAUUACCACUACCAAUAUGCCACGUUAACCAUGGAUAAUCAAUCUACUUCCUUCCACUGAAUCGUUGAUAGACUCAAAGAUAAUACUUCUUCAUUCAACACCUAAGAUACUCUAUAUGCACUCAUCCCGAGUGACAUCGAACCACAAGACCAUGCUUCCUCGAAUCCCAGAAACCAUUUCGUAUUCCUCAAAUGCUACAUCACGAGUCAAAAUAUCAUAGAAUAUUUUGGGCACCUUCUCAUAAGCUGCUACAAAGCUUGAUUCUUAACUGUUCCCAUAGGCUCGAAGUUACUGAGUGCCACACUUAAACUCCUGAAUUCACUAGGACCAUUAUUGAGAGCCACCCACUUUGUCUUGGUCCUGAAUAUAACUCACUCCAUAGCUCUUAUAACUUAUGAAUAGUAUCUCGGUGAAGCACUCGGCGAAAUAACUUCCUUUGAAACCUGUAUCCUAACUCUCCAUAGAUCUUAUAACACACAAACACUCUCUCCACGAAGCACCCGGUAAAAUCACUUCCUCUGAAACCUGUAUCUAUAUGAGAUAAAUCCUUAACUUUUCACAAAGUUCGAACAUGAGCCAGUAAGGCCAACCGUAGCAUGCCUCCAACAAUUCCUUUGCUCGAAUUACCACUUAUGGUCUAUUCUCAUAGCUGAAAUAAUCCAUCAAUAUGCAAAUGACAAGAAAUCACGCAAGUAGUUAAGCAUACAACCUAAUCCUAAGCAGUGGGAUUCUCCCACUUAGAUUGAAGCCAUCAUUUUACAAUUCCUGAGUUUUCCCGACCUUUUUACCUCUUAUAAAUCACGCGAGUAGUUAACCAUACAACCAAAUCAUAAGCGGUGGGACUCUCCCACUUAGCUUAAAGUCAUCAUUUCAUAAUUCCUCAGUUCGCUCAACCUUUUUGCCUCUUAUUGGCAUAACCCCGCGCAAUAAAUUAUCAAAAUUUCUCAGACUCUUCCUGUAGAUCCCCAUCUUCUAUAUUCUGAAUCAUCAUCCACGUUCGCACGAUUGAUCUCUUUGUUGAACAACCAAUAUAAUUCCUUGCAGAAGCUUUGCCAACCACGCGACCCCUUACCUGCUCACGGGGAAUAACCCAUCAAGGGGAAUCACCUCUCGACAUCUUCCCAUACUACUCCACGAGGUACAUUCACUAUGACACCAAUAGCUCAUCCUGAGUCUGAGCUCAUCUUCCUGUUGCGCAAGUCCGUUCACCCCUCGCGGACAUCAAUUAAAUAUGUGGUAGCAUCUUUCCAAAUUAAGGGAUACACUGCACCCUCCUCCUUUUCAAGCAACUCCUUUCCACCAUAUCAAUCUUCUGCGCAUAACAACCCAUACUUCACAUCAUACCCGCAAGCUUCAAUCCCCAAUCCUUAACAUUCCCAAUUUGACCCAGACUCUUCCUAAGACGCGUAGUCAUCCUACUACCAAACCCAUAUGCAACCCCCUCCGCUCUCCCACUUUGGUAGAACUUAUCUCCUUAAUCGGUCACUUGACCUUGCUUCUCAUAUUUGGUCUUCUAGAAAAUUUAAGCACCUAUUGACACUUCCCACAUGUUCUUUCUCGUACUUCACUACUCAAAUGAUGCCUUAAAUGAAAUCUAUCUUCGUGACACUUGAAUCCACCAUUGCUACUAACUUUAGAACCUUUCCAAAGGCCGGCUUUAUCGAUCCAUCAACAUUAAUAGUUCAGAUUAGAUCUUAAACCACCACACCAUGCGAUAUUUGACAGCUUUAUCUCAAAUCCUAUUUCAUAAUAUCCUGCCAUAAGGCGAAUUGUAUAGGAUUAUAAUAUCGACAAACUUAGUACAUUUCAUUAGGGCCACAACACCCCAUCAUAAUAGAAAGCUCAACCACGCUUGUAGAUACCGGUCUCAUUACUUCCACACAGCCCAAAUCUGACCAUCCUUAGUCCGAUUUCCCUUUCCCUUGUCGGGAAUAAAGUACCGAAUCCCUUAGUUACACGCUGAGUAAACUUCCCUUCAAUUCAUCCACUGCGCAGACACAUGGGCAAACAUCUUACCACCACAAAAACACUGCGGAAUAAUAGCUCAUAAGCAUCAUAUAAAUCUGACCAUCCUUAGUCCGAUUACCUUUCCCCUUACUGGGAAUAAAAUACUGAAUCCCUUGAUAACACGCAGAGUAAACUGCCUUUCAAUUCAUCCACUGUCCCAUCACGUGGGCAAAUAUCCUACUAUCACAACCACAAUGCUUAAUAAUAGCUUAUAAGCAUCAUGGAAACCUGUGCCUAGCCUCAAGGCCCUCAAAGUACCACUACUGUGCCGAAACAGUACGAUAUCGUUCCAUAGAGCGACUAUAACAGUCCAAUCAACUAUACCGGGAAAAUCAUCCCGCACCAUAAUUUGUAGUGCCAAAUCAGGUCUUCAAAUUCUCGAUAUCUAACAAGCGCUCCCGUCACGUAAGAUUGAGUAAGAAGGAAUCAAAGGCAUAAGUCUCAAAGGAAUCGAAUCACAUGAUAAGGAGAUCAAGAAGGGAAGUACUCCUAACAGCCCUGUAGCCUUUCGAAGAUAAGUACAGACGUCUCCGUACCGAUCCGCGAGACUCUACUAGACUUGCUCAUGAAUUGUGAGACCGACGGGAACCCAGUGCUCUGAUAUCAUGUUGUCACGACCCAAAAUUCAUUAAGGGUCAUGAUGGCGCCAGACACCUCUGCCAGGAAAGCCAUCCAAAUUACUUAUACAAAAUCUCACUUUCAACACUUUAAAAUCUAGGAUUUUUCCUCCAUACUUAGAAAACUUUGAAGAAUAAAGUUUCAAAUCAAGAUUUAAAAUUUAAAAGUUAAUACAAUGCUUCAAACCCUCCCAGAAUCCGGAGUCACAAGCGCAUAAGCAUCUACUAAUAAGAGAAAUAAAAUACAACACUCCGUCCGGAAUACAGUGGACAAGACUAAAUACAGAACACUGAAAGAGACUACCCUAGAUGCGGCCGUCUCGAAUAAUGCAGCUCAUCUAGUCCCAAAAACCAUUCGUGCUGCUAUGCCAAUAAACCACUGGAGCCACAUAAUAAGCCUGUGCAACAAAAUGCACAACAAGUGUAGUAUGAGUACAAAAACAACGUGUACCCAAUGAGUNNNNNNNNNNNNNNNNNNNNNNNNNNNNNNNNNNNNNNNNNNNNNNNNNNNNNNNNNNNNNNNNNNNNNNNNNNNNNNNNNNNNNNNNNGUACCCAAUGAGUGUCCCACCUAAUCCCGAAGGGGUAGAGACGAGAUGGUCAACCUUGACACUCACUAGCAGUCCAAUGAUUAUUUAUCUUUAAUAAAUAAUUUAAACAAUGGAUUUAUUUUAUAAACAUGUUCUAAUCCAGAUAGAGGAAACAAGUAAGCAUCUAAUACUUUCAUGAAAAAUUUCCUUAGGUUUCUUGUUAUUAUUAUCGGUAUAAAUCUUGAGCCAUAGUGUGGUAUAUAACGACUCAAAUGAGUCCAGGCAGUAAUAGAAGCAUGCACAAAUCAGACCGUGGCGAUGGCUCGAUCCAACAGAAAUAAAUGUGCACUUGCCGGGGGUUGACGGUGGGCCUAUAGAUACAUAUAUUAAUCUACCAAGGCGUACGGCCCGUUCCAAGAAUAAACAUACGCAGAUAGACAAUCAUCCAAACAGUCAACAUGGAGCAAAUAUCCAAGAAAGGUCAAUUCUCUUCAAUAAUUUAAGAAAACAAAACUUAAGUCUUUCUUUUUGAAAUCCAUUUAUAAAUACAAUAUGAUUUAAGAAAUUCAAGCCAUCAAUGGGUUUACAAUUAAUGCAAGUAUAACAUACUUUGGGUCCUAGACUACCCGGACAUUAGCACAAUAGUAGCUAUGCACAGACUCUUGUCACCUCGUGCGUACAUAGCCCCCACAAAUAAGAGCACAUAAUAAAUUUAAUUCACAUAUGGGGUAGAUUCCCCUUUUCAAGAUUAGAAAGGAGACUCACCUCGCAUCAAAGCGUUCCUUCAAUAACAAGAAUAGGCUCCAGCCUUAAUUCGAAGUCGAACGAGCACCAACUAGUUAAAUAAAGCAAGAACUAGUCAAUAAGUACUCACAAAGUUGAAUUCCAACUAAUUAAAUAAUUUUCCAACCUUUCCGCAAGUAAUUUAAAUUUUGACCCCGGGCCCACGAUCCCGGAUUCUGAGAUUUGUCAAAGCAAAAUAUACUCCAUAACCUAAGGAUUACUAAUAUGUAAAUUUUAGUUCGUUACAUGGCUAAUUAGGUGGUUAAAUCAUAAUAAUAUCCAAACCCUAGGUCUAUCUCUAACCCUUGAUUUUAUUUAAUUUUUAGUGUUAAAUUUAUGUAAUGUUUAUGUAUUUAAGCUAAGAGUGAGUGGGGAUUAUUUACCUUGCGAUGUUAUGUUGAAGCCUUAUCUUUGAAAGCUCCUAAAUCGCCCCAAAGUCGAAUGACAAAUGAGAGAAAAUGGGUUGGAGUACGUAUUUAAUGAACUUACUGCCCCAGCAAUUUUCGCUUCUGCGGGCGUUUUUCCGCAUCUGCGGAGUUCGCUUAUGCGGAAAAAUAGCUGUUUUUGCGGUUUGGGGAAGAGCUGGCUAGACCGCUUUUAUGGUCAAUUGUUCGCAAAGGAGGCCGCUUAUGUGGUUUCCCCACUUUUCCCCCUUUUCGCUUCCGCAUCCACUAGACCACUUCUGUAGUCUCCGCUUCUGCGUCCAAGAGCCGCAGAAGCGGUUUUGAUCGAAGCAGAUGAUGUUCCCUUUUAAAAAUCUAACUUUGCUCGAACCUCGAUCAUUUGGCGCUAGGGGCUUUUGAGCCCCGUCCGAACAUACCGACAAGUCUGAAAUCACGAGGCGGACCUAGUCGCAACCUCAAAACUCCUAAAACAACACCAAAUCAAGGAAUCGAACCCCCAAAACUGAUUAAUCAAACUUAAUGAACUUCAAGUUCUUAACUUCCUAUCAACAGGUCAAAACGCCCUUAAACUAAUCGGAUUGACACAAAAUUUUAUGGGUAGGUCUUAUAUCAUAUUUCGGACUUGUACCAAGUUUCGGAACUGGAAUCCAAACUCGAUACCUAGGUUUUCAAUAAAUAGUUAGAUUCUUUUAUUCCUUAAACCUUGAAUUUAACAAUUUUACAUAAAAAUUCCGUACUCGGGCUAGAGACCUCAGAAUUCGAUUCCAAGCGUACCUAGGUCCCAUAUUUUUCUACGGACCUUCCGGGACCGUCAAAUCACAAAUCUAGGUCCAUUUCACAAGAAAGUUUACCGAAUUUAAAUUGGGCCUUUUAAGAACACCUUAAGGAAAUAAUUAGUUUUUUUCUCACUCAAAACUGUCCGAACUUCUGAACUAAUUGCCCCCCGCAAAUUUUAAUUUAGCUAACGAAAUUGUGGGAAAUGUUUAUUUAAGGGAACAUGUUCUAAAUAGAAAAACGACUAGUCGGAUCGUUACAACCUGAUUCUCAGAACCUUUUUGAUUUUUUUUUUAAAUAUCGAAUUCGUGCAAAAGGAGUAUACAUCUUAGCAAUAUGGGCCAAGCACCCUUCUUUGUUAAUAGGUACUUUAAACAACAAUUGGAGAAACAACAAUUGGAGCAUUAAUCAAUUGUAUCUUGAGAAUCUCAAAUGCUUUCCUGCAAUUAUCUGAAAAUUCAAACUUCACAUCUUUCAUGAGUAAGUUAGUCAGAGAUUUUGAGAUUUUUGAAAAAUCUUUUAUAAAUCUUCUAUAAAAACAUGUAUGACCUAAGAAACUUCUAAUGCCUUUAACAAUGGUAGGAGGGGUAAAUCCUGCUAUAAGAUCAAUUUUAGCCUUAUCAACUUCUAUCCCUUUAGCAUAAAUUUUAUGUCCUAAAACAAUUUCAUCUGUUACCAUGAAAUGACAUUUUUCCCAAUUAAGAACUAAAUUUGUCUCUUCACGUCUUUUAAGCACCAGAGUUAAAUGAUAGAGACAAUCUUCAAAUGUCUUACCAAAAAGUGUGAAAUCGUCCAUAAAUAUUUCAAGAAUUUUUCAGUCAUAUCAGAGAAAAUUACCAACAUACAAUGCUAAAAUGUAGCAGGAGCAUUGCAUAGUCCAAAUGGCAUUCUUCGGUAAGCAUACAUAUCAUGUUGGCAUGUGAAUGUGGUUUUCUCAUGAUCUUGUGAAGCAGUUGGUAUCUGAUUAUACCCAGAAUAUCCGUCAAGAAAACAGUAAAAACCAUGGCCUGCAACUCUUUCAAGCAUUUGAUUAAUAAAGGGCAAAUGAAAAUGAUCUUUCCUUGUGGCAUCAUUAAGUCAUCUAUAAUCAAUACAACUCUCCAUCCUGUGACUUUUCUAGUAGGUAUGAGUUCAUUAGUUUCAUUUUUUAUUACUGUCAUACCUCCUUUCUUUGGUACUACAUGUACAGGACUUACCCAUGGACUGUCAGAUAUUGGAUAAAUAAUAUCUGCUGCUAGAAGUUUCACCACUUCUUUCUUGACGACUUCCUGCAUUGCUGGGUUUAGUAUCCUUUGGGGUUGAACUAUUGGCUUAUAAUCAUUAUCCAUAAGAAUCAUGUGCAUACAAAUAGCUGGGCUGAUUCCUUUCAUAUCAGCUGUAGUACACCCUAAGGUUGUUUUGUGUUUUCUCAAGACUCCAAUCAGUUUGCUUUCCUGUUCUGUAGUCAAAGAAUAUGAAAUGAUUACUGGAAAUAAUUCAAGUUCAAGAAACACAUAUUUUAAAUGAGAAGAAAGUGCUUUGAGUUCAAUUACUAAUUGAACUCCUUCUUGUGAGAUGUUCUCAUUUUCUGACUCUUUUUCUAGAAUUUCAGCUUGUUCUUUAAUUACGGGGUUAUCAUCACAUAUGGUACCUGACCUAGCCAAACAACUCUCCAAUGAAUCAAUAAUUAAAAGAUUAUCUUUGUAUUCGUCUACAAGGUCAUCUAGUAAGUCAAUGUGAAAACAAGAUGAUGAUGACUCAUCCCCGGGAAAUUUCAUCAUUUUUUGCAUGUCAAAAAUCAUACUUUCCUCAUCAACUCGCAAUAUUAAUUCAGGAAAUUUCAUCAUUUUUGCAUGUCAAAAAUUACUCUUUCCUCAUCAACUCGCACUAUUAAUUGUCCUUGAUGAACAUCAAUGAUUGCUCUCCCUGUUACAAGAAAUGGUCUACCUAAAAUUAAUGGUACCUCAGUGUUUUCUUCCAUUUCAAGUACUAUAAAUCUACUGGGAAUAUAAAUUUGUCAACUCUGACAAGGAUAUUUUCAAUAAUUCCUUUUGGUCUCUUUGUACUUUGAUCAGCUAACUGAAGAGACACACCAUCUUUCAUUUAAUAAAGUUCUAAUUUUCUAAAAAUUGAAAAAGGCAUUAGAUUUAUUGAGGCACCUGAAUCACAUAACGCAUUUUCAAAGUGAGUACCUCCUACGGUACAAGGAAUUGAAAAACUCCCCGGAUCACCAAGUUUCUGUGAAAGCUUAUUUUGAAGUAUAGCACUACAUUUUUCUGUAAGUUUAACCACUGAAACUUCUUCCAAUUUUCUUUUACUUGACAAAAUUUCUUUGAGAAAUUUAGCAUAUGAAGGCAUUUGUGUCAAAGCAUCUGUGAAAGUUAUGUUAAUGUAAAGUUGCUUCAAAAUAUCCAGAAACUUUGAAAACUGUUUGUCAAGCUUUUCUCUUUUUAUCUUUUGGUUGCUUCAAAAUAUCCUGAAACUUUGAAAACUAUUUGUCAAGUUUUUCUAUUUUUAUCUUUUGGGGAAAAGGGAGGGGUAAAAAGUGAGGAUUUUUUAUCACUUCAUUUUCUUGUUCAUUUUCCCUUUAUUCCUUUUUUCUUUUGGAAAAUAAGAUUCUAUUUUAUUUUCACCUUCAUUUACCUUUUCCACUUCUUGUGGCUUUCCUUCUUCAUCUGCAUAUAGAUCAUUAAGAGAUUUACCUGAUCGUAGAGAGAUGUCUUUGAGGUGUUCUUUUGGAUUUUUCUCAGUGUUGCUUGGUAGAGCACCUUGAAUUUGUUCAGACAUGAGGGUUGCUAAUUGGCUUACCUGAAUUUCCAAAUUCUUGAUAGCUGAAUGUUGACUUUCAACCUUCUCAUCAGUAGCCUUAAUGAAUUUGUACAUCAGGUCUUCAAGACUUUGUUGAUGAGCUCUUUGAGGUUGCUGCUGAUAUUUUUGAAAACUUUGUUGGCCUCUAUUUUGAUUUUGAAAACCAGGUGGUCCAUAUACCUGCUGCUUUUGAUUAAAAAAUCUUUGAGGAUUUGCAGCACCAUUAGGAUUACUCCAUUGAAAACCUGAUAUUUUUGUGCCAUGAGACUACCAAAUGAGUAAUUAUUUUUAUAACCAAUCACAGCUACCUAUUCCUCAUUUUGUGUUGAAGCUUGACAUUCAUGAUUUGGAUGAUUACCUUGACAAACAUCACAAUUCUCAAGUUGGGAUGACGAAUGAGCACCUACCUAAAAAGCCUCAACUUUUUGUGUUAAGGUCACAAUUUGUUGUGUCAAUGAAUUCAAAGCUUCAACUUGAUUUACUCCUGCUGCAAAAGCCUCAACUUUUUGUGUUAAGUUAGCAAUUUGUUGUGUCAAUGAAUUCAAAGCUUCAACUUUAUUUACCCUUGCUGUUUUCUUGAUAAUCAUUCUGUCUAAGGGCCAUUGAACAAUAUUUUUUGAAAUCUCAUUUAGCAAUUGCAUUGAUUCACAGUAGUUUUCCCAUUAUUGAUCCUCCUGAUGCUGCAUCAAUUAAAUUUCUAGCAGAAGGUUUAAGACUGUGAUAGAAAAUAUAUAAAAUGUCAAGGUCUUGGAUACCAUGAUGUGAGCAUUUUCUUAACAUUGCUGCUAAUUUUUCCCAUGCAUGGUAUGCAGAUUCAGAAUCUGUCUACAUAAAAUUAACUUCAUUUUAAAUGUUUUUGUAGGUAAAAAAUAUUUAUUAAGAAAUUUUUGGGUCAUUUGGUCCCAUGUUGUAAUGGAACCUCUUGGUAGACUUAUCAAUCAUGUUUUGGCUUCACCUUUUAAUGCAAAAGGAAAAGCCGCAACCUAAUAGUAUUUGUUGUGACCCCGUUAUAGUUGCAUGUUUCAACUAAUUCAAGAAAAUCAAUUAAAUGGGUGUGAGGAUCUUCACUUGCGUCACCAGUAAACUGACAUGACUGUUGAAUGGUUUGAAUCAAGCCUGUGCGGAUUUCAAAGUUGUUUGCUGCAAUUGGUGGUCUCCUCCCACUUGAUUCUCCUUCAAAAUGAUCCGGCAUUGCAUAAUCACGG